GAGGGUAUAGCUCAGUGGUAGAGUGCAUGCUUAGCAUGCAGGAGAUCCUAGGUUCAAUCCCCAGUACCUCCA
rnacentral:tRNA from 1 species